rnacentral:rRNA from 1 species
CUACCAGGGUAUCUAAUCCUGUUUGCUACCCACGCUUUCGUGUCUCAGCGUCAGUGAUGGUCCAGAAAGCCGUCUACACCGCAGGUGUUCCUCCUGAUAUCUACGCAUUUCACCGCUACACCAGGAAUUCCGCUUUCCUCUCCCAUACUCAAGCCCUCCAGUUUUCGGCGCACCCUCCCAGUUAAGCCGGGAGAUUUCACACCGAACAUAGAGAACCGCCUACACACUCUUUACGCCCAGUAAUUCCGAACAACGCUUGCUGCCUACGUAUUACCGCGGCUGCUGGCAC